rnacentral:rRNA from 1 species
UGGGGAAUCUUGCGCAAUGGGCGAAAGCCUGACGCAGCCAUGCCGCGUGAAUGAUGAAGGUCUUAGGAUUGUAAAAUUCUUUCACCGGGGACGACAAUGACGGUACCCGGAGAAGAAGCCCCGGCUAACUUCGUGCCAGCAGCCGCGGUAAUACGAAGGGGGCUAGCGUUGCUCGGAAUUACUGGGCGUAAAGGGCGCGUAGGCGGAUCGUUAAGUCAGAGGUGAAAUCCCAGGGCUCAACCCUGGAACUGCCUUUGAUACUGGCGAUCUUGAGUAUGAGAGAGGUAUGUGGAACUCCGAGUGUAGAGGUGAAAUUCGUAGAUAUUCGGAAGAACACCAGUGGCGAAGGCGACAUACUGGCUCAUUACUGACGCUGAGGCGCGAAAGCGUGGGGAGCAAACAGG